rnacentral:tRNA from 1 species
UGCUGGGUAGAGCAGUUGGUAGCUCGUCGGGCUCAUAACCCGAAGGCCGCAGGUUCAAAUCCUGCCCUCGCAU